rnacentral:rRNA from 1 species
UACAGAGGGUGCGAGCGUUAAUCGGAAUUACUGGGCGUAAAGCGUGCGUAGACGGUUAUUCAAGUCGGGUGUGAAAGCCCCGGGCUCAACCUGGGAAUUGCAUUCGAGACUGAAUAGCUAGGGUACGGUAGAGGGAAGUGGAAUUUCCGGUGUAGCGGUGAAAUGCGUAGAUAUCGGAAGGAACAUCAGUGGCGAAAGCGACUUCCUGGACCAGUACCGACGUUCAGGCACGAAAGCGUGGGGAGCAAACAGG